AUGGUGAACGCUGUGUUUAAGGCACUCCGCUCCUCUGAGCAGAGCGGAGGCCGUCGUAACUGGAGGACAGCGUGGAGUCCAGCAGCGCUGCCUUCAGGGUCCCACCACCACAGACGCCUUCAGGGUCCCACCACCACAGACACAGACGCCUUCAGGGUCCCACCACCACAGACCCCUUCAGGGUCCCACCACCACAGACGCCUUCAGGGUCCCACCACCACAGACACAGAUGCCUUCAGGGUCCCACCACCACAGACACAGAUGCCUUCAGGGUCCCACCACCACAGACACAGACGCCUUCAGGGUCCCACCACCACAGACGCCUUCAGGGUCCCACCACCACAGACGCCUUCAGGGUCCCACCACCACAGACCCCUUCAGGGUCCCACCACCACAGACACAGACCCCUUCAGGGUCCCACCACCACAGACGCCUUCAGGGUCCCACCACCACAGACCCCUUCAGGGUCCCACCACCACAGACACAGGUGCCUUCAGGGUCCCACCACCACAGACGCCUUCAGGGUCCCACCACCACAGACGCCUUCAGGGUCCCACCACCACAGACCCCUUCAGGGUCCCACCACCACAGACACAGAUGCCUUCAGGGUCCCACCACCACAGACGCCUUCAGGCUCCCACCACCACAGACCCCUUCAGGGUCCCACCACCACAGACACAGACGCCUUCAGGGUCCCACCACCACAGACGCCUUCAGGGUCCCACCACCACAGACACAGACGCCUUCAGGGUCCCACCACCACAGACACAGAUGCCUUCAGGGUCCCACCACCACAGACGCCUUCAGGCUCCCACCACCACAGACACAGACCCCUUCAGGGUCCCACCACCACAGACCCCUUCAGGCUCCCACCACCACAGACACAGACCCCUUCAGGGUCCCACCACCACAGACGCCUUCAGGGUCCCACCACCACAGACACAGACCCCUUCAGGGUCCCACCACCACAGACCCCUUCAGGGUCCCACCACCACAGACCCCUUCAGGCUCCCACCACCACAGACGCCUUCAGGCUCCCACCACCACAGACACAGACCCCUUCAGGGUCCCACCACCACAGACCCCUUCAGGCUCCCACCACCACAGACACAGACCCCUUCAGGGUCCCACCACCACAGACGCCUUCAGGGUCCCACCACCACAGACACAGACCCCUUCAGGCUCCCACCACCACAGACCCCUUCAGGGUCCCGUCACAUCCGUCUGAGGCUGUGA
rnacentral:lncRNA from 1 species